rnacentral:rRNA from 1 species
UACGUAGGGACCGAGCGUUGUCCGGAUUCAUUGGGCGUAAAGAGCUCGUAGGCGGCUGUUCAAGUCGAACGUGAAAACUCGGAGCUCAACUCCGAGCCUGCGUUCGAUACUGGACGGCUAGAGUCUGGUAGGGGGAUCUGGAAUUCCUGGUGUAGCGGUGGAAUGCGCAGAUAUCAGGAGGAACACCGGUGGCGAAGGCGGGUCUCUGGGCCGAUACUGACGCUGAGGAGCGAAAGCGUGGGGAGCAAACAGG